UGACGCCGUGGCGCGGGACGAGGCCGUAGGUCGGUUUGAGGCCGACGACCCCGUUGAGCGCGGCGGGCACGCGGAUCGAUCCGCCGGUGUCGG
rnacentral:tRNA from 1 species